GAUGAACGCUGGCGGCGUGCCUAAUACAUGCAAGUCGAGCGAACAGACGAGGAGCUUGCUCCUCUGACGUUAGCGGCGGACGGGUGAGUAACACGUGGAUAACCUACCUAUAAGACUGGGAUAACUUCGGGAAACCGGCGCUAAUACCGGAUAAUAUAUUGAACCGCAUGGUUCAAUAGUGAAAGCCGGUUUUGCUGUCUCUUCUAGAUGGAUCCGCGCCGCAUUAGCUAGUUGGUAAGGUAACGGCUUAUCAAGGCAACGCUGCGUAGCCGACCUGAGAGGGUGAUCGGCCACACUGGAACUGAGACACGGUCCAGACUCCUACGGGAGGCAGCAGUAGGGAAUCUUCCGCAAUGGGCGAAAGCCUUACGGAGCAACGCCGCGUGAGUGAUGAAGGUCUUCGGAUCGUAAAACUCUGUUAUUAGGGAAGAACAAAUGUGUAAGUAACUAUACACGUCUUGACGGUACCUAAUCAGAAAGCCACGGCUAACUACGUG
rnacentral:rRNA from 1 species